rnacentral:lncRNA from 1 species
UCUGGCUGGAGAAAAGGGGCAGGUGGAAGCCAGCCAGACAGAGUGACAUGGCAACACUGGAGCAGUGGCAGAAAAGGAGCUAGGCCAGAGUGGGGUCUUGGCUGGGAGGUCCAGCAAGAGACCAGCCAGGACAAUGGAAGGCAGCAUUUGAAUCCUUGGAGCAGUUUCCUCUCCCAACACCCUGAAGGAUGCCUUCCCUUUCUACACGCCCAUGUCAGAGGAGAAGAGACGUGCUGUGAUCCCGAGGCCUGGACAGCAGCAGGGAAAAGAAGCCGGCCUGCCAUUUCCUUUGCAUCACCCCUCCCUCUAGGCCCUGAGAACCACUCUAUACUAACCACUCUAUACUCCUGGCUUCCACACCAGCUUGUUCUAUCUCCUCUCAUUGCGGGGGAGGGCUGCAAUACAGUAAGGCCCAAACUCUAUGGUAGAAGACAUUGCGCCCCUACCUCUCCUCCCCUCUCUCCUGGCAAAGGCCAGAUGAGUGCAAGAGUGAGACCAAAAGCUGGAAAAUUUAGGGGGUCCAAUAUCUGGCACAUAUUAAAUGCUUUAAAAAAAAAAAAGGUAUCAAAAGAAUGAAUAAAAGUAGGAGAAACUCUGAAAAACAACCUGGAGAAGGUGUCAGUUUCUUUUUCUACUUCUUGCCUCAGCUACGAAGGGCCAGGUUCAGCCAGGCCUGAGUCCCUUCCCUAGCUCUCUGUUUUGUGACCCGUACCCAGGGUACCUGAUGGGACAAAGAUGAUUGGUAGGGGGACAUUAAGUUGCCAUUUUACCCAUAGGAGGGCAAUUGUUGGUAAAUUUCCCAGUCUCCCAUCUCUGCCAGCCACUUGAUCCCCAACUUCCAUAAACUGUCCCCCCUUUCUUUUCUCCAUUUCCACUACCUUUUCUUGAUUGAAAGAUCUCUAAGAGGAAGAAAAAUCUGGGUUUUGGGUUCUCUUUAGGUUUCCUCCACUGUCUUUCCAGACCUCCCCAAUAAGUGGGGCUAUGUCUCCAGAGUCCAGGGGUGUCUGCUGAACACCUCAUCACUUGCUAACAUCACCCAGAGCCCAGGAGCUCAGGAUGGGGGAGGGGUGGGAUUACUGUGGCCCAGGCCACAGAGGUAGUUCCAGGGCAGGCUGGUAGAGGGCCUGUCCCCUGUUUCCCCAAACCCUUUGGGGCUUCUUGGCAGGGGUGGAGGAUGCUGUGUGGGGUCUUGACUUCUAGGCUUUGGGGGAGGCUCUUCAGAAAGAUAUCUGGAUCCCCUGGUUUCUAGGGGUGGGACCCUGAGAAAUCUUGGGGUGCUUCCUAGCAACAGUCUGGGAAGGAAGGAGGGAGGAAGGGAGAGAGGGCGGGGCCCAGGCAUAGCUGCUCUGAUGAGAGCGCAGAGAAC